GACGAACGCUGGCGGCGUGCCUAAUACAUGCAAGUAGAACGCUGAAGGAGGAGCUUGCUUCUCUGGAUGAGUUGCGAACGGGUGAGUAACGCGUAGGUAACCUGCCUGGUAGCGGGGGAUAACUAUUGGAAACGAUAGCUAAUACCGCAUAAUAGUAGAUGUUGCAUGACAUUUGCUUAAAAGGUGCAAUUGCAUCACUACCAGAUGGACCUGCGUUGUAUUAGCUAGUUGGUGGGGUAACGGCUCACCAAGGCGACGAUACAUAGCCGACCUGGGAGGGGGGUCGGCCACACUGGGACUGAGGAACGGCCCAGACUCCUACGGGAGGCAGCAGUAGGGAAUCUUCGGCAAUGGACGGAAGUCUGACCGGGCAACGCCGCGUGAGUGAAGAAGGUUUUCGGAUCGUAAAGCUCUGUUGUAAGGGAAGAACGAGUGUGAGAGUGGAAAGUUCACACUGUGACGGUAUCUUACCAGAAAGGGACGGCUAACUACGUG
rnacentral:rRNA from 1 species